UUUCUGCAGGGACAUCUGUAACUUGAGAUCCGGAGAGCAACAAGUAAUACAGGCUUGACUGCUCAUUGUUCAACACACAGAAUCCUGAGGUAGUGAACAGAGGACAUUUGUGAUUUGAGACUUUGACGGACUAACUGGUGAGUCGUGUUGCAGCAGUUUAAAACUUAAGUGCUAAGACUAAAACUAUCUGCUGUGCUUUUCUUUCAAAGAUUAUGUUCCCAUAGAAAAGUUA
rnacentral:lncRNA from 1 species